rfam:Epulopiscium sp. AS2M-Bin002 AS2M_MBin02_209, whole genome shotgun sequence.
CUGUGCUAGCCGGGGAGGUAGCGGUGCCCUGAACCUGCAACCCGCUAUAGCAGGGGUGACGCUUAGUUUGAGGCAGUAUUUUGUGGAGUCUGCCCUUAGAAAGUGGUGUUGACGAUUGGGUCUUACGCAAUAGGCACUUAUGAAUCGUGUCAGGUCUUGACAGAAGCAGCACUAAGUAAGACCGUCUAUGUGACGUAAGGAAGCCUGGUUUGAGCUAACUACUAAGGUAACGUUUGGAAGGUGCUGUCGAAGCUAAGUGCACAG